rnacentral:rRNA from 1 species
UCGGGAAUUUUGGGCAAUGGGCGCAAGCCUGACCCAGCAACGCCGCGUGAAGGAUGAAAUCUUUCGGGAUGUAAACUUCACAAGAACGGGAAGAAUAAGUAAGUGUAAAUACCACUUAUGAUGACGGUACUGUUUGUAAGCUCCGGCUAACUCCGUGCCAGCAGCCGCGGUAAUACGGGGGGAGCAAGCGUUGUUCGGAUUUACUGGGCGUAAAGGGCGCGUAGGCGGCGCAACAAGUCACUUGUGAAAUCUUCAGGCUUAACCUGAAGCGGCCAAGUGAUACUGUCGUGCUAGAGUGCGGAAGGGGCAACUGGAAUUCUUGGUGUAGCGGUGAAAUGCGUAGAUAUCAAGAGGAACACCUGCGGCGAAGGCGGGUUGCUGGGCCGACACUGACGCUGAGGCGCGAAAGCUAGGGGAGCGAACGGGGAUUAGAUACCCCGGUAGUCCUAGCCUUAAACGAUGAAUGCUUGGUGUCCGAGGUUAGAUAGUCCUCGGGUGCCGUCGCUAACGCUUCAAGCAUUCC